AGAGUUUGAUCCUGGCUCAGGAUGAACGCUAGCUACAGGCUUAACACAUGCAAGUCGAGGGGAAACGAUAUUGGAAGCUUGCUUCCGAUAGGCGUCGACCGGCGCACGGGUGAGUAACGCGUAUCCAACCUGCCCAUCACUUGGGGAUAACCUUGCGAAAGUAAGACUAAUACCCAAUGACGUCUCUAGAAGACAUCUGAAGGAGAUUAAAGAUUUAUCGGUGAUGGAUGGGGAUGCGUCAGAUUAGCUUGUUGGCGGGGUAACGGCCCACCAAGGCUACGAUCAGUAGGGGUUCUGAGAGGAAGGUCCCCCACAUUGGAACUGAGACACGGUCCAAACUCCUACGGGAGGCAGCAGUGAGGAAUAUUGGUCAAUGGACGAGAGUCUGAACCAGCCAAGUAGCGUGCAGGAUGACGGCCCUAUGGGUUGUAAACUGCUUUUAUAAGGGAAUAAAGUGAGCCUCGUGAGGCUUUUUGCAUGUACCUUAUGAAUAAGGACCGGCUAAUUCCGUGCCAGCAGCCGCGGUAAUACGGAAGGUCCGGGCGUUAUCCGGAUUUAUUGGGUUUAAAGGGAGCGUAGGCCGGAGAUUAAGCGUGUUGUGAAAUGUAGACGCUCAACGUCUGCACUGCAGCGCGAACUGGUUUCCUUGAGUACGCACAAAGUGGGCGGAAUUCGUGGUGGAGCGGUGAAAUGCUUAGAUAUCACGAAGAACUCCGAUUGCGAAGGCAGCUCACUGGAGCGCAACUGACGCUGAAGCUCGAAAGUGCGGGUAUCGAACAGGAUUAGAUACCCUGGUAGUCCACACCGUAAACGAUGAUUACUAGGUGUUGGAGGAUUGACCCCUUCAGUGCCGCAGUUAACACAAUAAGUAAUCCACCUGGGGAGUACGACCGCAAGGUUGAAACUCAAAGGAAUUGACGGGGGCCCGCACAAGCAGUGGAGUAUGUGGUUUAAUUCGACGCAACGCGAAGAACCUUACCAAGUCUUGACAUCCCUUGACAGACAUAGAAAUAUGUAAUCUCUUCGGAGCAAGGAGACAGGUGGUGCAUGGUUGUCGUCAGCUCGUGUCGUGAGAUGUUGGGUUAAGUCCCGCAACGAGCGCAACCCUUAUGGUCAGUUACUACGCAAGAGGACUCUGGCCAGACUGCCGUUGACAAAACGGAGGAAGGUGGGGAUGACGUCAAAUCAUCAUGCCCUUUAUGACUUGGGCUACACACGUACUACAAUGGCGUUAAACAAAGAGAAGCAAGACCGCGAGGUGGAGCAAAACUCAGAAACAACGUCCCAGUUCGGACUGCAGGCUGCAACUCGCCUGCACGAAGUCGGAAUUGCUAGUAAUCGUGGAUCAGCAUGCCACGGUGAAUACGUUCCCGGGCCUUGUACACACCGCCCGUCACACCAUGAGAGCCGGGGGGACCCGAAGUCGGUAGUCUAACCGCAAGGAGGACGCCGCCGAAGGUAAAACUGGUGAUUGGGGUGAAGUCGUAACAAGGUA
rnacentral:rRNA from 1 species